rnacentral:rRNA from 1 species
AUUGAACGCUGGCGGCAUGCCUUACACAUGCAAGUCGAACGAGGGUAGCAAUACCUUAGUGGCGAACGGGUGAGUAAUAUAUCGGAACGUACCCUAGAGUGGGGGACAACCAGUCGAAAGACUGGCUAAUACCGCAUACGAUCUAUGGAUGAAAGUGGGGGACCUUCGGGCCUCAUGCUCCUGGAGCGGCCGAUAUCUGAUUAGCUAGUUGGUGGGGUAAAAGCCUACCAAGGCGUCGAUCAGUAGCUGGUCUGAGAGGACGAUCAGCCACACUGGGACUGAGACACGGCCCAGACUCCUACGGGAGGCAGCAGUGGGGAAUUUUGGACAAUGGGGGAAACCCUGAUCCAGCAAUGCCGCGUGAGUGAAGAAGGCCUUCGGGUUGUAAAGCUCUUUUGUCAGGGAAGAAAAGGCUAUGGCUAAUAUCCAUGGCUGAUGACGGUACCUGAAGAAUAAGCACCGGCUAACUACGUGCCAGCAGCCGCGGUAACAC